rnacentral:rRNA from 1 species
UACAGAGGUCUCAAGCGUUGUUCGGAUUCAUUGGGCGUAAAGGGUGCGUAGGCGGCGCGGUAAGUCGGGUGUGAAAUCUUGGAGCUUAACUCCGAAACUGCAUUCGAUACUGCCGUGCUUGAGGACUGGAGAGGAGACUGGAAUUUACGGUGUAGCGGUGAAAUGCGUAGAUAUCUGGAAGAACACCGGUGGCGAAGGCGGCCUCCUGGACGGUGACUGACGCUGAGACGCGAAAGCGUGGGGAGCAAACAGG